rnacentral:rRNA from 1 species
CCUACGGGAGGCACCAGUGGGGAAUUUUGCACAAUGGGGGAAACCCUGAUGCAGCGACGCCGCGUGAUUUAGAAGGCCUUCGGGUUGUAAAAAUCUUUUGUAUAGGAAGAAAAUGACAGUACUAUACGAAUAAGGUCCGGCUAAUUACGUGCCAGCAGCCGCGGUAAUACGUAAGGACCGAGCGUUGUCCGGAAUCAUUGGGCGUAAAGGGUACGUAGGCGGGUCAUUAAGUUAGAAGUCAAAGGCUAUAGCUCAACUAUAGUAAGCUUCUAAAACUGGAGACCUUGAGUAAUGGAAGGGAAAGUGGAAUUCCUAGUGUAGCGGUGGAAUGCGCAGAUAUUAGGAGGAAUACCGGUGGCGAAGGCGACUUUCUGGCCAUUAACUGACGCUGAGGUACGAAAGCGUGGGUAGCAAACAGGAUUAGAUACCCGAGUAGUC